rnacentral:rRNA from 1 species
CCUACGGGGGGCUGCAGUGGGGAAUAUUGGACAAUGGGCGAAAGCCUGAUCCAGCCAUGCCGCGUGUGUGAAGAAGGCCUUCGGGUUGUAAAGCACUUUCAGUGGGGAAGAAAGCCUUGGGGCUAAUACCCUCGAGGAAGGACAUCACCCACAGAAGAAGCACCGGCUAACUCCGUGCCAGCAGCCGCGGUAAUACGGAGGGUGCGAGCGUUAAUCGGAAUUACUGGGCGUAAAGCGCGCGUAGGCGGUCUGAUAAGCCGGUUGUGAAAGCCCCGGGCUCAACCUGGGAACGGCAUCCGGAACUGUCAGGCUAGAGUGCAGGAGAGGAAGGUAGAAUUCCCGGUGUAGCGGUGAAAUGCGUAGAGAUCGGGAGGAAUACCAGUGGCGAAGGCGGCCUUCUGGACUGACACUGACGCUGAGGUGCGAAAGCGUGGGUAGCAAACAGGAUUAGAUACCGGUAGUC